UAUUGCGCUGAAGUCGUUUCCACAGCAAAUUCUGAGAGCCCUUACCAAAGACAUAGUUUUGUGACUUUUAAAGUCUGCAGGCUGCUUGGGAAGGACUCUGGGAGAUCCUGAACCACACAAGGCUGAUGUUGCGGGUCGGAAGCUGGGGACGGGAUGGAAUCUGGGUGAGGUCUGAAAGAAAGUGAUCAAAACCAGAAUGAAAAGCAAUUCCAAAGCAACUGGGAUGGCUCCUACAUAAUCAGCAAGUCAGAAUGAAAAGCAAUUCCCAAGCAACUGGGAUGACUCCUACAUAAUCACCAAGUCAGGUAUGGACAGCUGAGGAAUCUGUGUCCUCAAAGUUUUCAGACCAAAAUUAAUUUAAAAAUUCCUUGUUUCCUCUUUUAAAGAUUGUCCUGUUUUAUUCUCUUUAAUGAGGAGGAGAGAAUGGAAGUGAAAUAAAACUUGAGGGUGAUAAUACCAAAACACAUAUUCCCACAACAUCUAAGAACCAUAGUUCUUUUCGAGGAAUAUGCACACAGAGUGAAUUAUUUUGUCUCAUUUUCAACCAUCUCAGCCUGCUUGAGGGGAAAAAGCGACACUUCUAGGAGUGAGGACACAAGAAUAGGACAUAUGUAUGCCAAAUAUCUGCAAAAGUCAGGCAAUCAACUGAGACAAAGAAGCCCUUGAGUAGCAAUAACCAGGUUGUGAGUUGUGAGUUCAAGCCAUGAUAAAUACCAAGAAAAAUAGAGAUAGAUAAACAGACAGACAGAUAGAUACACUUAGAGACAGAGAGAGA